AAACCAGCACCUCAAGUGGUCAGGAUGAUUAUUGGGCCUAAAGCAUCCGUAGCCGGCUCUGUAAGUUUUCGGUUGAAUCUGUACGCUCAACGUACAGGCUGCCGGGAAUACUGCAGAGCUAGGGAGUGGGAGAGGUAGACGGUACUCGAUAGGAAGGGGUAAAAUCCUUUGAUCUAUUGAUGACCACCUGUGGCGAAGGCGGUCUACCAGAACACGUCCGACGGUGAGGGAUGAAAGCUGGGGGAGCAAACCGGAUUAGAAACCCUAGUAGUCC
rnacentral:rRNA from 1 species